rnacentral:rRNA from 1 species
GACGAACGCUGGCGGCGUGCUUAACACAUGCAAGUCGAGCGGAAAGGCCCUUCGGGGUACUCGAGCGGCGAACGGGUGAGUAACACGUGAGUAACCUGCCCUAGGCUUUGGGAUAACCCCGGGAAACCGGGGCUAAUACCGGAUAUGACCUGGUGCCGCAUGGUGUUGGGUGGAAAGUUUUUUCGGCCUGGGAUGGGCCCGCGGCCUAUCAGCUUGUUGGUGGGGUGAUGGCCUACCAAGGCGAUGACGGGUAGCCGGCCUGAGAGGGCGACCGGCCACACUGGGACUGAGACACGGCCCAGACUCCUACGGGAGGCAGCAGUGGGGAAUAUUGCACAAUGGGCGGAAGCCUGAUGCAGCGACGCCGUGUGAGGGAUGAAGGCCUUCGGGUUGUAAACCUCUUUCAGCAGGGACGAAGCGUGAGUGACGGUACCUGCAGAAGAAGCGCCGGCCAACUACGUG